rnacentral:rRNA from 1 species
ACGCUCGACACCUACGGGAGGCAGCAGUGGGGAAUAUUGCACAAUGGGGGAAACCCUGAUGCAGCGAUGCCGCGUGAAGGAAGAAGUAUCUCGGUAUGUAAACUUCUAUCAGCAGGGAAGAAAAUGACGGUACCUGACUAAGAAGCCCCGGCUAACUACGUACCAGCAGCCGCGGUAAUCUGAGCGGGCUGGCAAGGC